rnacentral:rRNA from 1 species
GAUGAACGCUGGCGGCGUGCUUAACACAUGCAAGUCGAACGGAAAGGCUCCUGCUUGCCGGCUUACUCGAUUGGCGAACGGGUGAGUAACACGUGGGUGAUCUGCCCCUCACUUCGUGAUAAGCCUUGGAAACUGGGUCUAAUACCGCAUAGGACGAUUGUUGGGAUGCCGUUGAGAAGAGUUUUUCGGUGUUGGUUGGGCUCGCGGACUAUCAGCUUGUUGGUGGAGUAAUGGCCUACCAAGGCGUCGACGGGUAGCCGGCCUGAGAGGGUGUACGGCCACAUUGGGACUGAGGGACGGCCCAGACUCCUACGGGAGGCAGCAGUGGGGAAUAUUGCGCAAUGGGGGCAAGCCUGAGGCAGCGACGCCGCGUGGGGGAUGACGGCCUUCGGGUUGUAAACACCUUUCGCUAGGGACGAAGCGCAAGUGACGGUACCUGGAGAAGAAGCACCGGCUAACUACGUG